CCAACUACACCCACAUCCAGAUCUGCCUCGCUGACCUUGCGUGUCCCCAUUCCCGGAAAGCCUCGGCCAUUUGCCUGCUCCGUAACCUCCAGCCAACACAGCUUGGGAUUAAAACAAAAGAACAAACUGGUUCGGGGUUUACUGUGGCCAAAUCACAGCCACCCAAAUCACAGGAAUAUUACCAAGUCUGGUGGAAAACCAAAGGUAGGAGUCCCCUGGAGAUAUUCCCCUCCAACCAUUGGGGUGAGGAGAAGACUCACCCUUUCUCCAAACACUGUUUUGACUGAGCUUCCUCGGUGCUUCACCUGCUGCCACAGGGCCACUAGCACCUCCUCACUCCAGCAGCUGCAGGACCUUGCCCCAAAAAAACCUCA
rnacentral:lncRNA from 1 species